rnacentral:rRNA from 1 species
UACGUAGGGGGCAAGCGUUGUCCGGAAUCAUUGGGCGUAAAGCGCGUGUAGGCGGCCCGGUAAGUCCGCUGUGAAAGUCCAGGGCUCAACCCUGGAAGGCCGGUGGAAACUGUCGGGCUAGAGUCCGGGAAGAGGCGAGUGGAAUUCCCGGUGUAGCGGUGAAAUGCGCAGGAUAUCGGGAGGAACACCAAUGGCGAAGGCAGCUCGCUGGGACGGUACUGACGCUGAGACGCGAAAGCGUGG